rnacentral:rRNA from 1 species
AUUGAACGCUGGCGGCAGGCCUAACACAUGCAAGUCGAACGAGUGGCGGACGGGUGAGUAAUGUCUGGGAAACUGCCCGAUGGAGGGGGAUAAUUACUGGAAACGGUAGCUAAUACCGCAUACCAUCGGAUGUGCCCAGAUGGGAUUAGCUUGUGGGGGGGGUAACGGCUCACCUAGGCGACGAACCCUAGCUGGUCUGAGAGGAGGACCAGCCACACGGGAACUGAGACACGUUCCAGACUCCUACGGGAGGAAGCAGUGGGGAAUAUUGCACAAUGGGGGAAAGCCUGAUGCAGCCAUGCCGCGUGUAUGAAGAAGGCCUUCGGGUUGUAAAGUACGUUCAGCGAGGAGGCGUUACUCGCAGAAGAAGCACCGGCUAACUCCGUGCCAGCAGCCGCGGUAAUUC